rnacentral:sRNA from 1 species
GUCAAAUAUUUAUGGCUAGUUCAAUAAGAGUUAUUCAUUAAUUGCACUCAUGGACACAUCUUGCUGGGGAAGUCAGUAUUUUGGCAUGCACAGUCUAACUCUCAUGAUACCUUUCUUCUUCUAAGGGCAUGUAUAGUGCUUUCCAGAACUAUGAAAGCUCAUCAGAAGAUAUGUGGUGUUUUCAGUCCAUUUAUUAUUGGAUUUUAUACACCCUGUAACUAAACUACGUGGAUUGCUCAGCAAUGGAAUUUUAUUUUCUAGUUAAGCUGUACAACAAACAGAAUUUCUAGAGCCCUGUGGAGGGGGAUUUGAUGAAGACAAGUCACUUAGGACUGAACGUUCUAAGGUUUCUGGCUGCCUGAAUAGUUCUAGCGAUGGAUCUCUGUAUUUGUUCUGAUCUACUGCAGAAGGCAGCUUCUCCAACAAUUGAGAGCCAGCAAUAGCCUUCCCAAUAGCCUGGGUUGCUCAGGGAUUUACAUGGAAGAGCUUUGGCCAAUAACUCAAUUAUACGUAAGCCAUUCCCAACACUAGAUGCUUCAGUUGGUGAUAAAGGAUGUUCAGCUUCCACUACUACAUGCUGUUUAUGCUUCUACUAUGUGCUUUUAGCCCUAUGGCAACUUAAGCAAAUAUAGAGUCUUCUUAAGCUGCAGUCGGUCAUGAUGUUUUCAUAUCAACUGACAAAAAACAAAUAUAAUCAGUGAGCUAAUGCUGGAAAGAACGUGAUUUUGGAGAAAAAAGGAAGAAUGUUUUGUUGAAGAGCUUAAAAAGCUAUUCAGAAUGUUCCUUGAGCCUUUCAUGUAUGGAUUGUUGAUGAAUCGAUUGGAACUGGAU